CUAGAAAAGACGGGAAUGGAGUACCAGGCGGAGUAUAUUAUUAUACCAUGGGUGUUUGCCAAUCAGUGAUGAAUAUUGCCUGCAAUGGAUUAAUAAUAUGCAUCAGGUGCUCCCAUUCUAGCUCCUAUCACCCGAAAAGCGAACAAUUGGAAAUAUUUUUUAAAUUUAGAAGGGGAAACAUGUCGUUAAACAUCGUACGCCUGCUAACCAAUGGAUAGAGUUACUACUGGUCAAUGUAUUAUAUCUGA